CAUAGACGCGAUCUAGUGCUCGGGAAUAUCCACGAGGAAACAAAUUCCUACAGGACGACCUCAAAAUUACAUCUAAACUUUAUACAGUGAGGUGACCUUUAAGGUUCGACUCAGAUGACACAUGACCAGACGUCCACCUGUCUGCUAACCUCAACUCUUCUUGGCAGAAACUAGCAGGAAGUCUCCAUUUAGGCUCGAGGUCAUCUGGGCAUCAUGACCUCUGAACUGGCCGGUAAGGUCCGUUUGGAUAGUGUGUGUGCGUUGGCCAGGCCGUAGAGUGCCGUGCUGGGCUCGAGAGAGGUCAUCUGAAGCCUGUCCUGCUCCUCCACCCCGAGGUG